rnacentral:rRNA from 1 species
UACGUAGGGGGCAAGCGUUGUCCGGAUUUAUUGGGCGUAAAGAGCGUGUAGGCGGCCAUGCAGGUCCGUUGUGAAAACUCGAGGCUCAACCUCGAGACGCCGGUGGAAACCGUAUGGCUAGAGUCCGGAAGAGGAGAGUGGAAUUCCUGGUGUAGCGGUGAAAUGCGCAGAUAUCAGGAAGAACACCCGUGGCGAAGGCGGCUCUCUGGGACGUGACUGACGCUGAGACGCGAAAGCGUGGGGAGCGAACGGG